rnacentral:tRNA from 1 species
GGGCAGGUGAUGGAACCGGUAUACAUGCAAAACUUAAAAUUUUGUGCCCAAAAGGCAUGCGGGUUCGAACCCCGCCCUGCCCACCA